CGGCUUACCUGCAAGUCGAGGGGUAUAGGCUUUCGGGCCUAGAGACCGGCGCACGGGUGCGUAACGCGUAUGCAAUCUACCUUUUACAGAGGGAUAGCCCAGAGAAAUUUGGAUUAAUACCUCAUAGUAUUAUGAAGUGGCAUCACUUUAUAAUUAAAGUUCCAACGGUAAAAGAUGAGCAUGCGUCCCAUUAGCUAGUUGGUGUGGUAAACGGCACACCAAGGCAAUGAUGGGUAGGGGUCCUGAGAGGGAGAUCCCCCACACUGGUACUGAGACACGGACCAGACUCCUACGGGAGGCAGCAGUGAGGAAUAUUGGACAAUGGGCGCAAGCCUGAUCCAGCCAUGCCGCGUGCAGGAUGACGGUCCUAUGGAUUGUAAACUGCUUUUAUACGGGAAGAAACCCUGGCUCGUGAGCCAGAUUGACGGUACCGUAGGAAUAAGGAUCGGCUAACUCCGUGCCAGCAGCCGCGGUAAUACGGAGGAUCCAAGCGUUAUCCGGAAUCAUUGGGUUUAAAGGGUCCGUAGGCGGUUUUAUAAGUCAGUGGUGAAAUCCGGUAGCUCAACUAUCGAACUGCCAUUGAUACUGUAGAACUUGAAUUGCUGUGAAGUAACUAGAAUAUGUAGUGUAGCGGUGAAAUGCUUAGAUAUUACAUGGAAUACCAAUUGCGAAGGCAGGUUACUAACAUCAUAUUGACGCUGAUGGACGAAAGCGUGGGGAGCGAACAGGAUUAGAUACCCUGGUAGUCCACGCCGUAACGAUGGAUACUAGCUGUUUGGUAGCAAUACUGAGUGGCUAAGCGAAAGUGAUAAGUAUCCCACCUGGGGAGUACGAACGCAGUUUGAACUCAAGAAUGACGGGGCCGCACAGCGUGAGCAUGUGUUAUUCGAUGAUACGCGAGA
rnacentral:rRNA from 1 species